rnacentral:lncRNA from 1 species
AGUUAAGGAGCUUCUCUGAUAGAACUCUAGCACAUUGUUAAAUAAUUAUAUUGCUCUUCUGAUUGCCAGGCAACAGGGUGGAGGUCUGUUAAACUGUACAAUAGACAAGGCACUACAAGAAAUCCAGAUAGCAGCCAACAGAACUGGUUAUAAAAAGAUUAGAAGCUCUUGAAGUUAACCAAACAGAAGGAGCAGAUAACACAUAUCUGCAGGUUCUAAAGGCAUGAGCAAGGGAAGGGUGAACCUUAGGACUGCAGCCUACACAGCAUCAAAUGGAAGGCUGAAUCAAUGGGAAGAGUUACAACUUCUUAUUUCCUUCUCUGUCAAGAUCGGAGCAGAGGGAGCAGCCUAAGACGCUUAGGAGGCAGGCUGCUCAGGAAUUUCAUCAGCUCUUUCCUGCCCUAUCACCAUCCCCAGCAGAUUCAGCCUCGGCCACAGAGUCUGUUCAUCAUAGUGGUCCUGAUCCUAGUUAGAGCAUAUCUGCUGUCAAGAUUGUACAUAAUUGGAUGUCCACUUUUAAAUGCCUUCUCCAAAAAUGAACUGCAUGUAAAAUUGGGUCUGCAGAGCCUGACUUCUCAUCCCUCGCUCAGAUGUUGCCUAGUGUCUUGCAUCUGCUGUUGUCAUUUCCUUUAGGAAGCGUUGAAAAGAUAAAAAAGAG